rnacentral:rRNA from 1 species
UGGGGAAUAUUGCACAAUGGGCGCAAGCCUGAUGCAGCCAUGCCGCGUGUAUGAAGAAGGCCUUCGGGUUGUAAAGCACUUUCAGCGAGGAGGAAGGGUAGUGUGUUAAUAGCACAUUGCAUUGACGUUACUCGCAGAAGAAGCACCGGCUAACUCCGUGCCAGCAGCCGCGGUAAUACGGAGGGGGCAAGCGUUAAUCGGAAUUACUGGGCGUAAAGCGCACGCAGGCGGUUUGUUAAGUCCGAUGUGAAAUCCCCGCGCUUAACGUGGGAACUGCAUUUGAAACUGGCAAGCUAGAGUCUUGUAGAGGGGGGUAGAAUUCCAGGUGUAGCGGUGAAAUGCGUAGAGAUCUGGAGGAAUACCGGUGGCGAAGGCGGCCCCCUGGACAAAGACUGACGCUCAGGUGCGAAAGCGUGGGGAGCAAACA